UCAAAGCUCAUAAAAUCCAUUGUGAACAUAACAUAUCAGUUAGCUGUGUCUCUGUGGCACAGCUGCAAUGUUGCAUCAUGUGCAGACAUUGUUAUUUUUUAACGAAGUACUUUUGUCUUGUUUUCAGUACAAAUUAUGUAAAAAUUCUUAAAUCAAGAUGCAUUUUCUUGAUAAGCCAAAUUAUUUUUGGCAAAAUCUCAAAUUUAAAUAAAAUUGUUGCCUAAAACAAGCAAAAACUAAAUAAUCUGCCAAUGGGGUAAGAACAUUUUCCUUGAUUAACUUAUUUCAAGAUUUUUUUCUUACCUCAUUGAUAGAUUUUUUUAAGCACAAUAUCACUUCAAUUAGAUUUUUUUUUGUCUAAAAACUAAACGUAUUUUCUAGAAAAUGCAUCUUGAUUUAGGAAUUUUUACAUAUUUGUGCUGAAAAAAGACAAAAAUACUAAGUAAGAAAGUAAUUUUUUUUUGCCAUCCACUUUUUUUCAAGUUAUCCAUCCACUACUUAAUAUUAUGCAAAAACUGCUCAAACAUUUGGCUGUAAGUCUCAAUGUCACUUACUGUGCUCGCAUGAGCUUGGCUGAUCUUUCCUCUGACGGGAAAUGCGUAAACGGUGGAAGAUUUCCUGUUCAAUCCUCUUUCCUCCUCAUCCUUGGGAUGCUAUUUCUAACACUUUAACUCUGUCUGGUAUGAGGCUUAGUAUUGGGAUAAGAAGUUAACUGUGUUUAUAGCGUCCUGUUUGGCAAGGCAGCACAGUCUUAUGUAAAGUAUUUAACUAAUACUUCACAUGCACUCUUACUUUUUCUACAGUAUACUGUGUAUAUUGUGGAUGUAUUAGCUAUUAAUUUUACAUAUCUAUGUUUUGACUCAAUUUGAUCAGAUUGCACAAAGAACUUUCAACACACAAAUUCAGGAAGCUGUGACCUCACCAGCUCGUUUCCAUGAAGCCACAUUCACUUGAUCCUGGCUUUAAAACUAAUUUGCAUGUUAUGAUAUGCAAAUAAUCUUAUAAGGAAAAACAGUAAUAUGCAUUGAUGCAAACACUAUGCUACUAUUUUUUUUUUAUUUUUUUGUUUAUUUUGUUACUGAUCAAAAUGAUUUUGUCAACUGCAGCAUAGUUACACUUCCGUUGCUUGUUUUGAAACCAAAGAGUUAUUCAGUUGUGAAAUUUUCUUGUAACUUGAAAAUGUCGACACGCAAUUAGAUCUUAUUUAGCAAAAUAUAAUUCUACACUUCUACACUUGCUAUUGUGGCAAUCUCUAAAAUAUUAAAUGUAAAUUUUAUUUUACGGUUGUAUUAAAAUAAAGUGUUAUAGGCCUGGUUUUACAGACAAGGCUUUGUUAAAGCCAGGACUAGGCCUUAGUUAAAUUAAGAUGUUUAAGCAACUUUAAUAAACAUGCCUUAAGCCAGUGCCAUUGAUUUGUCCUAUUUUAAGAUCUGCCAGUGCAAAUUUUUUAAAGAGCACAUAUUUCAUUGCUAAAAACAAUGUUAUUUUGUGUAUUUGGUAUAAUAUAAUGCGUUUGCGUGGUUUAUGGUUAAAAAACACAUUAUUUUUCACAUACCGUACAUUUUUGUAGCUCCAGAUUUCACUCUCUUCCUGAAACGCAUGGAUUUGAAAAGCUUUGUCCCCCUGAUUGGCCAGCUAAUCUGUACGUUGUGAUUGGUCUGAAUACCUCUGACAUGUGCGCGAAUCUUUCAAAGAUUCGUGCGCAAUGCUAACAGGAGUUAACUUCUCUCAUAGAGAAUGAGACAUGGUAUGUGAACCAUAUGCUCAUUUUCUCGUAUUUAAGGUGUAGUUUACGAAUGCCCAGAGCCGUUUAUUGGGCGCUACGAAUGUCUAUAAAAUGCGUCUGUACGUAGCUCAUAGCCAAUCGUUCAAUUAUACCAGAUGACGUAUGUAGAGUGACAUAAAUUCAAAUGUAAACAACUUUUAUCGGUUUUUGAAUUUUGUCGGUUCAACUUCGCGUCUGUUGCCGUGUUAUAACAAAUAACAAAAAUGCUUCUGUGUGUCGCAUAGAUGUCGUCAUCGUCUUGCUGCCUCUCCUCGUUCUGUGAUUGGGUUCCCUAUUUCAGGGGCAAAAAAGGGCUAUAGUUUAUUCACAAAUUUAUUCAUGCUGCAAGUCUAGCAUUGGGAAACCCAGGCUAGGCUGAGUCCAUAGCGGGAGGAAUUAUGAUAAUGUCGGUCUUCUCUACGUCACCAAUCCCAGGAAGUAAACUGUGUGUUUGUUGUAGUCCAAGAAAAGAGAUUUACAUUGGAAACGAUAACUCGUGUCAUCGUUUCCCUUGGGGUUUGUACCUUUUGCAUAUUGUUAACAUGUACUAAUACACACCAAAGGAAAUGUAAAAUCAUGAAUCGGACAAUUGGUGCUCUUUAUCUUAUUUCUUGAGUGACAGGUGUUUUGCCACUGGUGUCACUACCGUCGAGCUAGGUGGGCGUGGUUUCAGAGAGCAGGCACCUCAGCUCCAUCCACAUUCCGCCUCUUUGCCCAUUUUUGGUUAUCCGGGAGCGACACAUGGCGAUGCACUGCCAAGAUGGUGACAUCCACCCCCGCCCACUUUGGGCUUCAAAAAUAAUCUUCCGAAACCUACGGGUGACAUGUGCGUCCAUGUUUUAUACAGUCUAUGGUGCUGAAGCAGCUCGCGUGACACUUACGCAAUAUCAGACUUUAUUCGCCUCAAAGAAAAGCAUUUUUACACAGUCUGAAUCGUUUCUUAUCCCCUGCUUUUAGCUUUUAAUUUCCCAUAUAAAAACAAUAAAGAGGGUCACGCCGCGUCGAGUCACGUCUAGGACAACUCGGAGGUAUCGUAGAACCGGAAGUGUUAAACAUUAAAUAGCGCAAGCUUCGUCAGAUAGCGUCUACUUCAAAAUGCAAAAUAAACGUUAGCAGCUAAUGUUAAUCAUUAAUGAUUUGGGACAAAUAUGAUGUUAUUUAAUGUUAAACUAUGUGAAUGGCGCUCUGUGGCGCGACAGGGAUUUGAGCAACCUCCUGAGUCAAAGCUGGGCCCCGCGGACAGGCGCCACCUUUCGGCGCCAGUGUGCGUAUACUCAUAGAAAACAAUGUGUUUGUUUUUUUUUUUUAGAACGCCGCAGCGCUGAGCUGCGCGUGUGGUGUGCGACCCCCUUAAAUGUAUUAACAUUUGAUUUGACACGAAAUUUGAUGAGAAGCUUAAGUGUUUCGUCAU